AUGGAGUAUUCAGAUACAGUCAAGUACCACAGAGUUCCUCAAGAUGCAAUCAUGUGCAGGUUGUUUACAUUCUCUCUCUGUGAUGAUGCUCGUGCUUGGUACCGAUCCUUGCCAUCAAGGUCAUACAGUUGGAUUGAGAUAUCACAAGCAUUCUUGGAUAAAUAUUUCUCACUACACAAGCAGUCCGUGAUUCGAGAUGAUAUCUUCAACUUUGUUCAGCGUGAAGGUGAGAGUUUGUAUGAUGCUUGGGAGAGGUACAAUGCCUUGUUCAGGAGAUGUCCUAAUCAUGGGAUCGAGAGAUGGUUAGAGCUGCAGAUAUUCUAUAGAGGAUUGACUUCGGACACUCGCGAUUACAUUGAUAUGGCAGCGGGUGGAGCUAUUACAAACAAGACACUUGAUGAUGCUUUUCUGCUGAUUGAGAGCAUAGCUUUCCACCAACUUCAGUGGUAG
rnacentral:rRNA from 1 species